rnacentral:rRNA from 1 species
CCUAGGGUGGCUGCAGUAGGGAAUUCUCGUCAAUGGGCGCAAGCCUGAACGAGCAAUGCCGCGUGAACGAGGAAGGUCUUCGGAUCGUAAAGUUCUGUUGAAGGGGAAAAAGAGCGGAGAGAGGAAAUGCUUUCUGAUUGAUAUUACCCUUCGAGGAAGUCACGGCUAACUACGUGCCAGCAGCCGCGGUAAUACGUAGGUGGCGAGCGUUAUCCGGAAUGAUUGGGCGUAAGGGGUGCGUAGGCGGCCUGCUAAGUCUGGAGUGAAAGGUUCCGGCUGAACCGGUAAAGGCUCUGGAAACUGGCGGGCUAGAGAGCAGGAGAGGGCGGUGGAACUCCAUGUGUAGCGGUAAAAUGCGUAGAUAUAUGGAAGAACACCAGUGGCGAAGGCGGUCGCCUGGCCUGUUAACUGACGCUGAGGCACGAAAGCGUGGGGAGCAAAUAGGAUUAGAUACCCUGGUAGUC